rnacentral:tRNA from 1 species
GGGGGUGUGGUCAAGGGGUAUGACAAGCGAUCCGCAUUUUCGCUUAGCCUGGGUUCGAGUCCCAGCUCCUCCA